GUGCGCAGUCUGUUCCGUCAUCUCUUUUGCGAACAAAUUCAGGGAUGCUAGGAUCACAAGGCGGUGGUCUUCCUUCUCAAUCUGGGUUUCCUUCAUUAGUGUCUCCUCGUACUCAGUUUAAUAAUAUGAAUAUGCUCGGGAACGUGCCUAAUGUUUCUUCCCUUCUUAAUCAGUCAUUUGGGAAUGGGGGUCCGAACCCUCAGCUUUCUGGUCCUGGGAGUGGCCAGCGUGGAGGAAUCGAUUCAGGGGCUGAAUCUGAU
rnacentral:lncRNA from 1 species